rnacentral:rRNA from 1 species
GAUGAACGCUGGCGGCGUGCCUAAUACAUGCAAGUCGAGCGAACGGACGAGAAGCUUGCUUCUCUGAUGUUAGCGGCGGACGGGUGAGUAACACGUGGAUAACCUACCUAUAAGACUGGGAUAACUUCGGGAAACCGGAGCUAAUACCGGAUAAUAUUUUGAACCGCAUGGUUCAAAAGUGAAAGACGGUCUUGCUGUCACUUAUAGAUGGAUCCGCGCAGCAUUAGCUAGUUGGUAAGGUAACGGCUUACCAAGGCAACGAUGCAUAGCCGACCUGAGAGGGUGAUCGGCCACACUGGAACUGAGACACGGUCCAGACUCCUACGGGAGGCAGCAGUAGGGAAUCUUCCGCAAUGGGCGAAAGCCUGACGGAGCAACGCCGCGUGAGUGACGAAGGUCUUCGGAUCGUAAAACUCUGUUAUUAGGGAAGAACAUAUGUGUAAGUAACUGUGCACAUCUUGACGGUACCUAAUCAGAAAGCCACGGCUAACUACGUG